rnacentral:rRNA from 1 species
UACGGAGGAUGCAAGCGUUAUCCGGAAUGAUUGGGCGUAAAGCGUCCGCAGGUGGCUAUGUAAGUCUGCUGUUAAAGAGUGAGGCUCAACCUCAUAAGAGCAGUGGAAACUACAUGGCUAGAGUGCGUUCGGGGCAGAGGGAAUUCCUGGUGUAGCGGUGAAAUGCGUAGAGAUCAUGAGGAAGACCAGUGGCGAAGGCGGGUCUCUGGACAGUUCCUGACACUGAGACACGAAGGCCAGGGGAGCAAACGGG